ensembl:misc_RNA 7SK 7SK RNA
GGAUGUGAGGGCGAUCUGGCUGCGACAUCUGUCACCCCACUGAUCGCCAGGGUUGAUUCAGCUGAUCAGGCUGGCCAGGCGGGUGUCCCCUUCCUCCCUCACCGCUCCACGUGCGUCCCUCCCGAAGCUGCGCGCUCGGUCAAAGAGGAUGACCAUCCCACUAGAGGAGGACAGGUCUUCUGUCAAGGGUAUAUGAGUAGCUGUGCUCCCCUGCUAGAGCCUCCAAACAAGCUCUGAAGGAAAAGAAAGAUCAAAAUUUACAAUCAGGAGACCGAGGUCGAAUGCCCUUUCCU